rnacentral:rRNA from 1 species
GACGAACGCUGGCGGCGUGCCUAAUACAUGCAAGUAGAACGCUGAAGGAGGAGCUUGCUUCUCUGGAUGAGUUGCGAACGGGUGAGUAACGCGUAGGUAACCUGCCUGGUAGCGGGGGAUAACUAUUGGAAACGAUAGCUAAUACCGCAUAAUAGUAGAUGUUGCAUGACAUUUGCUUAAAAGGUGCAAUUGCAUCACUACCAGAUGGACCUGCGUUGUAUUAGCUAGUUGGUGGGGUAACGGCUCACCAAGGCGACGAUACAUAGCCGACCUGAGAGGGUGAUCGGCCACACUGGGACUGAGACACGGCCCAGACUCCUACGGGAGGCAGCAGUAGGGAAUCUUCGGCAAUGGACGGAAGUCUGACCGAGCAACGCCGCGUGAGUGAAGAAGGUUUUCGGAACGUAAAGCUCUGUUGUAAGAGAAGAACGAGUGUGAGAGUGGAAAGUUCACACUGUGACGGUAUCUUACCAGAAAGGGACGGCUAACUACGUG